rnacentral:rRNA from 1 species
UACGAGGGGGGCGAGCGUUGUUCGGAAUUAUUGGGCGUAAAGGGCGCGUAGGCGGUGCGGUAAGUCACCUGUGAAACCUCUGGGCUUAACUCAGAGCCUGCAGGCGAAACUGCCGUGCUGGAGUGUGGGAGAGGUGCGUGGAAUUCCCGGUGUAGCGGUGAAAUGCGUAGAUAUUGGGAGGAACACCAGUGGCGAAGGCGGCUCACUGGACCGGUACUGACGCUGAUGCGCGAAAGCGUGGGGAGCAAACAGG